rnacentral:rRNA from 1 species
UACGUAGGGUGCAAGCGUUGUCCGGAAUUAUUGGGCGUAAAGAGCUCGUAGGCGGUCUGUUACGUCGGCUGUGAAAACCUGGGGCUCAACUCCGGGCCUGCAGCCGAUACGGGCAGACUAGAGUUCGGCAGGGGAGACUGGAAUUCCUGGUGUAGCGGUGAAAUGCGCAGAUAUCAGGAGGAACACCGGUGGCGAAGGCGGUUCUCUGGGCCUUACCUGACACUGAGGAGCGAAAGCGUGGGGAGCGAACAGG